rfam:Caenorhabditis brenneri strain PB2801 C_brenneri-6.0.1_Cont975.1, whole genome shotgun sequence.
GCUUACGACCAUAUCACGUUGAAUGCACGCCAUCCCGUCCGAUCUGGCAAGUUAAGCAACGUUGAGUCCAGUUAGUACUUGGAUCGGAGACGGCCUGGAAUCCUGGAUGUUGUAAGCU